GGGGAUUUAGCUCAGUGGCAUAAGCACCUGCCUUGCAAGCAGGCAGUUUUGAGUUCGAUCCCCAGUAUCUAUA
rfam:Cavia porcellus supercont2_478 genomic scaffold, whole genome shotgun sequence.